AAAAAAAACAAACCCUAGUUUCCGUGCCCAACUUUUGACCGUCCGUUUUAUUUGAAAAAAAUUAUGAAAAAAAUUAAAAAGACAAGUCACGUAUAAAAUAUUAAUCAUGUUUUAUCAUCUAACAUCACGCAUAAAAUAUUAAUCAUGUUUUAUCAUCUAACAACAAUGAAAAUACGAAUUAUAAAAAAAAUUCAUAUAAGACGGACAGUUAAAGUUGGACACGAAAACCUAGGGUUUGCCUUUUU
rfam:Oryza nivara chromosome 1, whole genome shotgun sequence.